rnacentral:rRNA from 1 species
AGUGAACGCUGGCGGUAGGCCUAACACAUGCAAGUCGAACGGCAGCACAGUAAGAGCUUGCUCUUACGGGUGGCGAGUGGCGGACGGGUGAGGAAUACAUCGGAAUCUACUUUUUCGUGGGGGAUAACGUAGGGAAACUUACGCUAAUACCGCAUACGACCUACGGGUGAAAGCAGGGGAUCUUCGGACCUUGCGCGAUUGAAUGAGCCGAUGUCGGAUUAGCUAGUUGGCGGGGUAAAGGCCCACCAAGGCGACGAUCCGUAGCUGGUCUGAGAGGAUGAUCAGCCACACUGGAACUGAGACACGGUCCAGACUCCUACGGGAGGAAGCAGUGGGGAAUAUUGGACAAUGGGCGAAAGCCUGAUCCAGCAAUACCGCGUGGGUGAAGAAGGCCUUCGGGUUGUAAAGCCCUUUUGUUGGGAAAGAAAAGCAGCAGGUUAAUACCCCGCUGUUCUGACGGUACCCAAAGAAUAAGCACCGGCUAACUUCGUG